UGGGGGAUAUUGCACAAUGGGCGAAAGCCUGAUGCAGCGACGCCGCGUGGGGGAUGAAGGCUUUCGGGUUGUAAACCUCUUUCGCUAUCGAACAAGGCCCGCUUAGGGUGGGUUGAGGGUAGGUGGAGAAGAAGCGCCGGCUAACUACGUGCCAGCAGCCGCGGUAAUACGUAGGGCGCGAGCGUUGUCCGGAAUUAUUGGGCGUAAAGGGCUUGUAGGCGGCUUGUUGCGCCUGCUGUGAAAACGCGGGGCUUAACUUCGCGCGUGCAGUGGGAACGGGCAGGCUUGAGUGUGGUAGGGGUGACUGGAAUUCCAGGUGUAGCGGUGGAAUGCGCAGAUAUCUGGAGGAACACCGAUGGCGAAGGCAGGUCACUGGGCCAUUACUGACGCUGAGGAGCGAAAGCAUGGGUAGCGAACAGG
rnacentral:rRNA from 1 species